UACGUAGGGUGCAAGCGUUGUCCGGAAUUAUUGGGCGUAAAGAGCUUGUAGGCGGUUUUGUCGCGUCUGCUGUGAAAUUUCGGGGCUCAACCCCCGAACUUGCAGUGGGUACGGGGCAGACUAGAGUUGUGGUAGGGGGAGACUGGAAUUCCUGGUGUAGCGGUGAAAUGCGCAGAUAUCAGGAGGAACACCGAUGGCGAAGGCAGGUCUCUGGGCCGAUACUGACGUGAGGAGCGAAAGCGUGGGGAGCGAACAGG
rnacentral:rRNA from 1 species